CUGCAAAUUUAAGGUUUCUAAAGUCAUGUUUAGUUGUAAUGGAAAGUAACACACUUGGGGGAUCAAGAAAAUAUUUCCUCUUCACUGUCAGGUUUAGAAGUGCUUGCUUUGAAGGUCUUCAGCUGUCCUGAUCAUCAUGAUCGACCAUUAACCAUUCUGUGAUUACAUAACUCCCGAGGGUCCUAUCAGAGGGGAGUUUUGUUGUCAUUUCUUUCUUCAUCUCUGUUUAUGGAAAUAAUAGAUUACAUUCAACUCAAUACCUCUGAAUGGGCAUAUGUGUAAGAAUUAAAAAAUGAAAAUGAGUAAAAUAGCCAAGUUAUUUGUCUUUCUCCAUUUAUGCCGUAAGGUUGGAGCCGCUGUGAAAUGUGGUACCACUGUUAAUUGUGUAAAGGGCAGGAUGGGAUCAGAGGUCAAAAUGCAAGAAAAUUACCCAUGGCUUUUAAAGACAAGUGUUUGUUGUGUUUGGUUUGAAAUAGGAAUAAAAUCUUUAAAAGGUUACAAGAACUGUAACAAUGAAUGUUCUCAUAUGUUAAUCUUUGAUGGCCUGAGGGUGAGUAAACUGUAGCAGAUUUUCAUUUUUGGGUGGACAGUACCUUAAAUUUAAUACAUAUAUCUCCAUCUCAACACAUUUUCUGUCCUCCUUACUCUCACCAUCAAGGCUGCAGUUCAGCACACUACAUAUGAGGACCGUGGCCACACUAAAGUGCCCUCUGGUUUCCCUGGCAACACUCUUCUGCUUGACAUGUGUGGCAACCAUUGCCAUUAUCUCCCUAGCAACCGUUUCUCUAGCGUCCCAGCGUGGGUGUCCCUUCACCUGGACAGUUGUAAGAUCCAUGAGAUCGAGGGUGGUGUUUCCGGGGCAUGAAGGGGCUAAUGUACCUCUACCUGUCCGACAACCAACUGUCCUCCCUGGACACAAAAACCUUUGAGGGUGCCCCUGAGAUCAUGUACCUUCACCUAGAAGGUAAUAAACUAACUGGGUUUCCUUCUUCAGCUACACUGGCUCACAUCCCCAAACUCCUUGAGCUGCAUCUGGAGAGAAACCUUAUAGCUAAACUAGAGCUCCGCCUUUCAGGAAAUCUGAUUCGCUGGAUUGGGCCAAGCUAUCUAUCUAUCUAUCUAUCUAUCUAUCUAUCUAUCUAUCUAUCUAUCUAUCUAUCUAUCUAUCUAUCUAUCUAUCUAUCUAUCUAUCUGUCUAUCUAUCUAUCUAUCUGUCUGUCUGUCUAUCCAUCCACCCACCUCCUCCGUGAUGGAGGCAGCCAUCUUUAAAGGGGUCAUAUGACGAUGCUAAAAGAACAUUAUGUUGUGUACUCCACCCACCUCCUCCGUGAUGGAGGCAGCCUAUCUUUAAGGGGUCAUAUGACGAUGACUAAAAGAACAUUAUGUUGUGUAUUUGGUGUAAUGAAAUGUGUUUAUGCGGUUUAAGUUUCAAAAACACAUUAUUUACCACAUACUGUACAUUAUUGUUUCUCCUCUAUGCCCCGCCUUCUGAAACAUGUUGAUUUUUACAAAGCUCAUCAUUCUGAAAAGCGAGGUGUGCUCUGAUUGGACAGCUAUCCAGUGCAUUGUGAUUGGCCGAAUACUUCAAGCGUGUGACGGAAAUGUUACGCUCCUUACCAUAUAGUCAUGCCAUGUGUCCCGCAGCGCUGAGACAAAAACAUUAAAACCCAUUACAAAAGAGGCUUUUGUAGCAUCCAGUGGGGACAUAAUUACGGAUUAUAAUGACAAUACCAGCGGUUCUCAAUUCCAGUCCUCGCGCCCCCCAGCUCUGCAUAUUUUGCACGUCUCUCUUUGUUAACACACCUGAUUCAGAUAAUCAGCUCGUUAGAAGUGAGCUCCGUGCUUGAACUGUGUUCCCAUUGACAUGGUCCCUACAAAGUGUGCAUUGCUCCCUACUCCCUGAGCAGGGGAUAUCUGUUGAAGUUUACUUCACUUCGGAACAUUCAUUCAUAGAUUUGUGCUGUGCAAUGUCUUCACACACAGAGAAGUGUGACAUCAUAUACCUCUGUAAAUAAAUACAAUUUAAAUUCACGUCAGCAGCGAGAAUCUUUCUUUGCAUGAACAUUUGGGUGGUGUUAUGCAAAUCUUCCCACAUCAUGAUGUAGACAUGUGGGGGCGUGUUUAAACGAGCCGUUUUAGAAGUGUGUGGUUGAUUCUUAACUUUUAUAAAGAAUAUCUCUUUGGAUUUGAGACUUUAGUCUUUGCAACUUUACAGAUCUUCUUUAUGCACCGAUAGCUUGUAACACCCCAAAGAGAAAGAAACAUUGAAAUUACAUCAUAUGACCCCUUUAAAAACUGUUCUGGAGAAAAUGCUCAUUCCUCCGUCACUACCAAAGCCCCUGCACCAAACAAACCUAUGCAGAACACAACAAAGACCAGACCCGUGCUGUCUGAACCUAAUCCUAAACCAGCGAAGACCAAACUGACAGCGGCACCAAAGAAAAAUGAGUCUGGUAUACUCAAACCAGUGCGGGCCCUAAAAACAACCAGGCCAAAAAAAGAGAAAAAGAGGAAGGCGACCAAGGAUUAAGUCAUCAAGGAUAAGAGCCAUAUAGUUUUUGGUUUAAACUAAGAGGAUAAUGUGAUAUAUUAGUCUGGUGAACAAAUUUGGUGUUAUAAGAAAAAUGAGUCUGGUAUACUCAAACCAGUGCGGGCCCUAAAAACAACCAGGCCAAAAAAGAGAAAAAG
rnacentral:lncRNA from 1 species